rnacentral:lncRNA from 1 species
GUACAAUAAGAACUUCAAGACUCUGAAGAAAGAAAUUGAAGAAGACCUCAGAAGAUGGAAAGAUCUCCCAUGCUCAUGGAUUGGCAGGAUUAAUAUAGUAAAAAUGACCAUUUUACCAAAAGCGAUCUACAGAUUCAAUGCAAUCCCCAUCAAAAUACCAAUACAAUUCUUCAAAGAGUUAGACAGAACAAUUUGCAAAUUCAUCUGGAAUAACAAAAAACCCAGGAUAGCUAAAACUAUCCUCAACAAUAAAAGGAGUUCAGGGGGAAUCACUAUCCC